UGCAGGCCUACCGGUGACAGCUCAGGAGAGAAGAGCCAGACGGACCAUAACUGCUCCCUGAAGAGGGCAUCAGAGAUAUACCCAGAAGCAAGGAGACGGGCAAGCAUACUGAACCCCACUGGGAACAUCUGGGGCAACAUCCAGCAAGGAGCAGAGAGGUGGAAACCCAUUUUCUGGAAACGUUGAGAGGCCCAUUGUAGGAAAGAGGGGGAAGGACCGGAAGGAGAAGCAAGACGACCAGGCUCUCUCUUUUCCCUCCACAAACGCCUCCUCCAUCCCCGCAGUGCCGUGAAGCAGCUCUAAUACAGCAUGGGAGGUUCCCAACUUCUCUAUCCCAGGGUUUGACAGAUCAGCAUGGACCAGUCUGUGGCAAUCCA
rnacentral:lncRNA from 1 species